GGAGAGGUGGCAGAGUGGCCGAAUGCGGUGGUCUUGAAAACCAUUGAGUGUAAUAGCUCCCAGGGUUCGAAUCCCUGCCUCUCCA
rnacentral:tRNA from 1 species